GGUUGUGAUCAUACCAGCACUAAUGCACCGGAUCCCAUCAGAACUCCGCAGUUAAGCGUGCUUGGGCGAGAGUAGUACUAGGAUGGGUGACUCCCUGGGUUGUUGCAACCC
rnacentral:rRNA from 1 species